rnacentral:rRNA from 1 species
ACACCCGUUCCCAUUCCGAACACGGCAGUUAAGCCCUCCAGCGCUGAUGGUACUGGGAUAUCCCGGAAGAGUAGGUCGCUGCCAGAA